rnacentral:rRNA from 1 species
AGCAGCCGCGGUAAUUCCAGCUCCAAUAGCGUAUAUUAAAGUUGUUGCAGUUAAAAAGCUCGUAGUUGAAUUUCGGGGUUAGUAGGCUGGUCAUGCCACCGGUAUGUACUGGUCUUACUGAUUCCUCCUUCCUGAUGAACUGUAAUGCCAUUAAUUUGGUGUUGCAGGGAAUCUGGACUGUUACUUUGAAAAAAUUAGAGUGUUUAAAGCAGGCUAACGCUUGAAUACAUUAGCAUGGAAUAAUGAAAUAGGACGUUCGAUCCUAUUUUGUUGGUUUCUAGGAUUGACGUAAUGAUUAAUAGGGAUAGUUGGGGGCAUUAGUAUUCAAUUGUCAGAGGUGAAAUUCUUGGAUUUAUUGAAGACUAACUACUGCGAAAGCAUUUGCCAAGGAUGUUUUCAUUAAUCAAGAACGAAAGUUAGGGGAUCGAAGACGAUCAGAUACCGUCGUAGUCUUAACCAUAAACUAUGCCGACUAGGGAUCGGAUGAUGUUAAUUUUUUAAUGACUCA